rnacentral:lncRNA from 1 species
GUUUUCAUUGAAACAAAACCCUGGACAAAACCUGGAGAGAAACCUAGACAGAGACAGUGAGAAUUAAUCUGCAACAACCUCCAGGCAACUCUGAAAGGUUCAUUCUGACUCACACACUUUCAGCUCAAGCAAACCCUAACAUUGGUUUGCAAAUCCAGCCGUGCCAUUUGAUUUCAACCGAUCUAUCCAAUUAGGUUUGCCCUUAUUCCCAUUACCUUUGUGCUUUGAAGUUGAAUACUCUGAAUGUUUGAGGUAUGAUGGAUGAAUUUCAUUAGGUUUUUG